UGUGGCCAAGCUACUAAGGGUAUACGGUGGAUGACUUGGCGUACAGAGGCGAUGAAGGUCGGUGUAGCCUCCGAAAAGCUCCGGGAAGCUGGCAAACAAGCGAUGAUCCGGAGAUGACCGAAUGAGGAAACUCAUUUACGGCCCGCUGAAUGCAUAGGCGGGUGCGAGCGAACGCAGGGAACUGAAACAUCUAAGUACCUGCAGGAACAGAAAGAGAAAUCGAUUCCGUCAGUAGUGGCGAGCGAACGCGGAAGAGCCCAAACCGGGGGUAACCCCGGGGUUGCGGGCCUCAAUGUGAGAGCUGCGUGGCUAUUCGAACCGUCUGGAAUGACGGGCCAAAGCGGGUGAAAGCCCCUUAGAAGAAAGCCGCAAAGCCUCUAGAGGUACCAGAGUAGCGCGAGACUCGUGAAAUCUCGUGUGAAUCCGGGCGGACCACCGCCCAAGGCUAAAUACUCCUGUACGACCGAUAGUGAACCAGUAGGGCGAUUGAA
rnacentral:rRNA from 1 species